rnacentral:rRNA from 1 species
AACGAACGCUGGCGGCAUGCCUAACACAUGCAAGUCGAACGAUGUCUUUCGGGGCAUAGUGGCGCACGGGUGCGUAACGCGUGGGAAUCUGCCCUUGGGUUCGGAAUAACCGUUGGAAACGACGGCUAAUACCGGAUGAUGUCGAUAAGACCAAAGAUUUAUCGCCUGAGGAUGAGCCCGCGUAGGAUUAGCUAGUUGGUGUGGUAAGAGCGCACCAAGGCGACGAUCCUUAGCUGGUCUGAGAGGAUGAUCAGCCACACUGGGACUGAGACACGGCCCAGACUCCUACGGGAGGCAGCAGUGGGGAAUAUUGGACAAUGGGCGCAAGCCUGAUCCAGCAAUGCCGCGUGAGUGAUGAAGGCCUUAGGGUUGUAAGGCUCUUUUACCCGGGAUGAUAAUGACAGUACCGGGAGAAUAAGCUCCGGCUAGCUCCGUGCCAGCAGCCGCGGUAA